CCCAAAUGCUCCCACAGCCUAUAUAAAUAUCCCAACUUAUACAUGUACGUGUAGAUAAAAUUAUAACCUUAGGCGUACUACAUCGAUUGCUAGGUUUAACAAGCAAUGGCAUUUGAUAAUAAAAGGUCUAUUCUGGCGGUGUUUAUCUUAUUUGCAGUAGUUUUAUCUCCUACAUUAACAUGUAAUGCAGCUCGAUUCACUCAACGAGAACUUCUGACCGGACCUAUAUGUCCUGCCUGUGUCUGUUGUUCACCUCCACCUCCGAACUCAUGUUGCCCUUGCUGUUCUACUCCUGUCCCGACAUCUGGAACUGUUACUCCAUGAAGCACGUCAUACCUAUCACUUAUGAUCAGUUUAAGGCACUGGCACUUCAACGUCAAUUCAGUACCAUAUAUAUAUAUAUAUAUAUAUAAUUAAUGUAUUAAAAACAUAAAUAAUGAAGUGUCUAUGGAUAUUUAUUACUAUAAUAUUUUUCUUUUGACAUAGUAUUUCAAUAAUGUAUGUUACUAUGUUGGAAUAAAGAUGGACUUUCUCCUCUCAA